UAUUGUCAACAUUCAACUGCAUGUUCUGUUUACGUAUGUGCUUAUUUAUUUUUGCAAGGGGUUAGAUUUUCAAGGUCAGUUUUACCCAAUCAAAGACAGUUCUGAAGAAAACUCAUUAUUAACAAUUGUCACUCACGGAAAUCGUGAAUUUGAACAAAAGUCUGUGAAAUCUUGGAAAUGGAUGUAAAAACACAUUUGGUUAGGCACUGCCUUUAUUUCCUUUAAAAUGCAGUAUGUUGUGCAAUGAAAAUACAAAUAUGCGAGUAUCUGUAAAUUGUUUGGUUGUGUUUGCACACAGCACUGCGUGUAGCAAUGUAGGUCGCCGAACGGGAUUUUUGUAGCUGAGCGAGCAAUACAGCAGCUUGCUGUUGCUUCAGAAUGGUUGGAACCGGGGUUGGUUUUAAAAUACGCCUUCUUUUAACAUCCAGGUACAUCUCUGCCAUCAUCGUAGGUCUUUCAAAACUAUCUUGCGCGAAAUGCACGGGUGUACUACCAGUUUGACACAUACCACUUCGCUCGGGUUGUUUGGACUUUUUUGUCCCAUAUGCACUUCAUUUUUGUGUCUUUCGGGAAACGGUGAAUAAUAAUAUUCUUUUGUUCUAUAUAUCGUUUGCCGAGGCAUUUUAUUAUAAAAAAAAUGUCCUAUCUGUGAAUGUCAAUUAUUCACCUUCUCCCUCUGUGAUGUCACUACCGGUAUCGUGAGGCUACUUCAAAACGGAGACAGGAAGAUGCGCCCGUCACAUUAAAACUGAGAUUUUAUUAAAAAAAAAACUUUAUCGCUGCCAACAAUUUUAAAUCUCGUUUACGUUAUGUUUCUUAAAAGUGGUUCGGAGGGUGACAUAAUCACUUUAAAGGGGCAGUGCUCUGUAGCAGAAACAACCAAUUUAAACGUCUCGUUCUUAUUACUGAAGAAAAAUACAUACCGUUUUAUUUUGAACACGGUAAUAAAAACAAUUAUUUGACAUGCUGGUUUUGUAUAUAAACAUUUACGCAUGACGUGCACAGAGAAAUAGGAACGGUUUAUUUCAGACCCGUCUGUUUCGCUACGAGAUAUUUGAUGAAAGCACCCAAUAUAGCAAUUGAAGAUAGUGCUAUUCAAGAGGAAGUCAAAGUCCCGUGCUCUCGAAGUUGCCGCCUAUGAAAGCAAGCGGACUUCACCAACCGCUGGCAGUUGCCAGACCAACUAGUCAGCGACUUUCUAGGAAAGUCCCAGGCCUUUAAAGCAGUGAGGGCCGGAGUAGAUAACGACUCUUUUAAGAUAAUUAUGACAGGUGCAUAUCUCUAAUGAUGAGCAGCAUCAGUACAUCCACGGUGUGUCAGUUUCACUACAUGGCGUGUAAGUACAGGGAGGAGGCGCUGUUGACUGCCUGUGAGAGGUGGCUGAAGUUGAACCUUGUUCCGCAGCUCCAAUCAGGAAUACACCUGCGAAACCUGCCACCCGACCUGCUGCAGAAACUGCUCAAAUCUACCAGCUUACCCAAGAAAAGCGCCUUGCUCGAGAGAGAUGUGGGACAAGUACGUGGCUCUCUUCCAGUCCUUGCACCUUCACAGGAUCACAGCUAACACGCAUCUGGAGGAGAUACAGCAGAUCAACGUACUGCCCCAAGCUGGGCUACUGCGGCUCUUCACAAAGCAUUACUACGCAGUAAGUCAGCAGCAUUAAAAAUGAUUAGUACUGUUCACACAGCAUCGGGUUCUAUAGAACUGACCUGAAGAGGGACAGAUCUAAAUACUGACAUCCUUUAACGUUGUAGUCUGGUUUUAUUAAGCCCUUUAUUUUAACAUCACUCGCCAUGAAAAAAACAGGACUGUGCAUUUUUGGACGUGAUUAAGAUCUGCCUCUCUUUAUCCUCUCGUAAAAUGUAUACUGUAUUUUAUUUUAUUUUAUUUUUUUAAGUGCAAGCAUAAAAUUUGUCCACCAGGUAGUGACAAGUCAUAAGUACAAAAAAAAAAAAUUAGAAUCAAAGGUAAACAGUAAAACCUUGAAAUGAAAAGAGCAUUGGCCACAACAGCACAUUCAUUGUAUGCAUGCAGGUGUGGGUUAGUGUUCAUUUCAAUAUGUGUUGUUUUCUAAUGCCAGAGCAAUCUUUUAGUGUUUUAAGGAUAGUAAUAUUUUUAACAAAUACAUUUCUGAAUAGUUCAAUUGGUAUUUUUGUAAUUUUAGGGUUAAUGUACUAAGGACUCCAGAACUGAACUAAAAAUAACUUAAGUUAAAAUAUGAGCUGCUGAAUUAACAUUCUGGUUCAAAAUAUUUCCUAGAAACAAAAAAAAAAGAUAUAAAUGAUGUGCUGAGAGCGUGAGCUAUUAAAUCAGACCCUUUGACUCACUCUCAAAAGUCUUCAUCUGCUACUAUUUAAAAUAGAUUUAAAAAGCAUUUGAGGCCAGUGGAAUAAAUUACAUUAACUGCUGCUGCAAAAAAAAGAAAGAAAGUGAAAAUAUAAAAGUAAAGGCGCCUCACUUAGUUAAAUAUCUAAAUGAUUUAAAAAGUGCAAGGCUGUGCUCUGAGGUGAAGCAGAGUUAACUGUUUUGACAGCUUCCUCUUCAAUGUUUUGGUUACAGAGUGGAGGGGAUGUGCCUUACUUCACAGACCUCUCCACUCAGGCAAUGUGGUUUGGCCUGCUAAUUGACCGGGUAUGUUAACCCACGCCUGGUGAACAAGACUUCUGUUUUCUUUUUAUAACUGCCCCUUUUUUCUACUAAGCUUUCUGUAAAAGUGAAUACAUGUAACUAUAAACCAGUGGUCAAAAAGCUAUCAAUCUGCCAGUUCUCACCACAAGAGGCUGGAAGCACUGUAAUAUACCAUGCCAAGGGAAACAAAUAACCCUCAUUUCCCCAAUGUCUCAAAAACAAACCAAAAAAAGUAUGAAGAAAAAAAGCAGAAAGCAUGAAUAACAAACCUGAAAGUGCUGAUGUGAUAUAUAGGUACUGUUUUAAGGACUUUUUUUAAAGUGUUUAAAACAUUCGCUUAGAUUUAACGGUGCUUUCUACCUUCUAACCCUCUCUCAAACAGCCAAGAAAAGGGUUCCUGAACUGCAAACUUGAUUUAUAAUGAAAAUUAUCUUUAAAAAAAACAAAACAAAAAAAAACAGUCCUGAACAAAACAUUCCUUAAAACAGUCUCUAAUGUUAUGAAUAGGGCCCUGGAUUGUUCUCCCUAAGUUGUGUUGCCAACCCCCCCCCCCCCCCCCCCGCCCCUUUUAAGGUAAAUAUCGCAGUUAAAGGGACCUACAAUAAGUAUGCUUAUGACCUUUUAACAUUACGAAAUAAAUAAGUCACACUUCAUCAUUAAAUCACAGUGGAAAACUGGGCUCAUUUAUAGUAUAUUUCUGAUCAUAUGUUUUUUGGCAGGGUAGCACAAACACUGUCAUUUUGAUAUACCAUUUAUUGGCAUUGUCUAUUCCCUGCUGAUAAUACCUUUUGGCUAAUUGAUUAUUUAUUUACUGGUAACUGAACUCGCUUCAGUAUUUAUUGCUGGAGAAACGCACUGUUUUGAUUAAGGAACUGCUGGGUAAAUCUUGUUAAAGUGUGUGGAACUCAUGUACUGGUCUGUCUGGGAGCUCUGUUUUGCACCCUGUCCUCAGUGUCUUUGCCUCACAGGAGCCGCAGUAUCGCAAGACACGGGGAGAGCGCCAUCUACAGGUUCUCCAUGAAGGUGCAGUAAGAGUAAGCUGCCAGGUGCUGGUAAUUGGUAGCUGGGAUCUUUAACAGAAUAAAUAGUGCAUGUGGCCAUUUUACCUUAUGUUCUUCAGGUGUAACUAUUGAGGGAAUGAAUGAGGAUGAAAAUACAUUCAUUCAUAUCACAUUGCGGGACAUAUUUUCAGAGCAUUUAUACAGUCUUUAAUUAACUCUUAUUUUUUGAUAGAUGAAAAUUCAACAGUAAUGUACAAAACUGAGAAACAAAAAAACUUUAACUGUUAUUUCUUAUUUCAACACUAGAUGGCAGUGCACUAGCUAACUGGCGUUGCAAUACUUUGCUGUAAUCACAGGGCAGGUGAAUCGUCGUCACAUUCCUAGCAGUGGCCCCAUUACGUCUCCUCUCAAGUCAAAUGAUGCAGUCCACUUCUUGCCCUGCAGACUAAGCCUUUUCUGCAUGCUGUACCUGUUUUACCAUGGGACAUGAGGACAAAUGGCUAAGGUGGAUAAUUAAACUGCAGAUACAUUAUCAGAUGUUGAUUUCAAUUGUAGUUUAACAUAACACCAUGCUAUAACCAGCUAGUUCAAUUAAACUACAGUAUCCACACCCUACAAAUGUUGAUGAUCCCCUGUCAGACAUUAGACAGAGGGUCGGAGACAGUCCUUCACACACAGGGAGUGGUCAAGGUAUGGAAUGGGUUACCUAGCCAUGUUGCUGAUGCUGAAUCAUUGGGAUACUGUAAGAUCCAACCUGAUCAAUCAGCUACUAGGAACCAGCCUAUGGUUGUGAAAUGUUCUUAUGUUCUGUAUUUGACUCCCAUUACACAGAGGCUAAAGUAUAAUGACCCCUCUUUGUCAUUCCGAGCCUGUGAAAGACACCCCUUCAGUCUGCUUCAGGGCCGGGAGUUCCGAUACGAGGUCAAGGUCCAGUCCACGGUGGACGAAAAGUGGCAGAUAUUUAGCACUGGGGUGUUGAGCAAGGAAUUUUGUGUCACCAAGAAGUCUGCCAAAAACCAGUAGCACCGGCUAAUGGACAGCAAGACGGGGGAGCAGCUGGUAGAUCCAGGCAUCUCUAAGGAAGCUUGUCACGUCAGAUCUUCUGUCGAAGGCAGGGCCUGCGCAUACUAAUUAAGAGACUACAUACAGAGAGAGGCCGGAUUAAAUACUGUGCAUGUGGAAUGGCAGCUCUGGCUCCAACACAUUCACACUCAGUGGCACCUGCUGUUUUUAAAAUGUUUAUAUUUUCAUUGUUCUGGAAGGGGGGAGUGAUUUAUUAUUAUUAUUAUUAUUAUUAUUAUUAUUAUUAUUAUUAUUAUUAUAAUACUCAGAUUUGUAAAGUAAAGGGUCUGAGCCUUCCCAUUCACUUUUGGGCUUGCGUUCCCAUCAUCUGAAGACUCGACGGGAGUAGGUGUGCGGGCGGGAGACAGACCCUGAACAAACAGACCUUUAACAUCAAGGGGAGAGCUGAAGAUAAACAGAAGUGCUUACUGAGCCAGCAGCUUGGACUUUCACCUCAUUAAACCGUUGUGUCACGUGACAAACACCUUUGUAGAGUUUACUGUAUGUGAAUGCAGAUCUGCUUCCUGCAUCAAAAACAAGUGGCUGAUAGAGGAGGUGAAACUCCAUUUGCAAUGCAGUGUGAUCAUGAUUGUGUCCUGAUUUGAUGAAUGAUCUCCAUGUAUUGGUAUGCCAUUAUACCAUAGUUGCUUUCACCCUAACUAUUUCUGAGAACCGUUCCAGUGAACAGCCAGUAGGUUUAUACUUUGUUGUUACACUUUCUGUUGACCAUUUAAACCAGCUUUUGCUGUAUAUUGUAAUAACUGCAGCUAGAUAUCACUAAACCUGCACAUUCUAACAGUCCAGCUACACAGCACAAUUUAAUUCUCUGCAGUUUUUCUCUGCCACAUGCCACUUUUGGUUCUAAAACUAAUCCAGAAAUGAUGAAGAGCUCAUAAAGACAUUACAAUGUGAAGACAUACAUUCUACUGAUUGACUAUAUGGAUUGACUGUUGCAAUGAAAUUGCAGUGCAGCAAAAUUUUGAAAAUACUGAAAUAAAACUGUGCUAAUUAAAUCCAAUUAAGCAUUGAUUGUAAUUCUAAUUGGUUAAUUGCCUGGGACUCACUUAUUUUUUUUAUUUUAUUUUUUUUAAACUUCUAGCUAAAAAGUUAAUUGAAUUGGAUGUGACCAUUUGUCAAUGACCACUGCCUCUAAUUCCUGCAGGGACAUUCUAGAGAGAAUCAUCACUUUGAAACAGCUCCUUGUGAAACGUCAAUAAUCUGUGCAGUUUUGGACAUGGAAACCAUCUACGGCACCUGCUAUCCUACCUUUGCACAUACUAAAUAUGCUAAUAUAGUAUACUGAACUAACAAUAUAGCAGGUAUAUUAAGGCUGGUAUGCUUGGAUUUACUUAUGCAGUAUAACAUGUUAUAUUUUAAUUUCCAUUGUUUUUUUGAUUGCUUGUUUUUUUUUCUUUUGGGUUAGAGGAAGCAGUGAAAUCUCAAGGUCUCGUACAUUUCAGUAUUUUCACAUGGGCACAGGGCCAGGUAGGAAGCUUGAAUCCCAGCUGUUUGUGUUGCUUUGGGGGAACAAAUAAAUAAAUAAAACAAGCACUCAUGAUUGACAUUGACACAUGAGUUGUGUGGUUAAGUGUACACUCUGUUUAGAGAGCCUCUUCAUUUAUGUUAAUCUUUAGAGCAUCCGUACAUCCUGGAAUGGUAGAAGCUCUAGUUCGUAUGCUUGCUCUCCACCUCUUUACUCUGUGGCUGAAUGUUCAAGGAGAAGACUAUGAUAACUCUCUGGUCUAAAAAGUUUCUAGACCACAGAGAUUGUGUUCUUUUAACCUCUCCCCAUAGCUCUUACUGUUUAGUCCUGGGAUUAGCCAAGUUACCCUACUGUGUACUUCUUGUGUGAAAUAACAAGGAGGAAAAGUUUAUUCAAUGCCAGGCUUUUUACAUGAGCUUCCUACAACUCAACUGAGCUUGCUGUCAUGCACUGUGGCUAAUUAUGCUUAUAGAUUCUGUGUUAUGAGGUGAAGACUAAAUUAGGUGUGCACAAAAUACACAUGAUAUGUCGCCGUAGCUGAGUCUGGCAAAUCUUAAAACACGUUAAUCAUUUAACAGGAUCAUGUACACAUGCAAAAUAUGUGAAAGGAAAGCUGUUAAUUCACCCAAUAUGACAACUGAUAUGCUAGGGGUAGGUGACCUGAAACUUACAAAGCUGAUAAAAAAAAUCAGCACCUGCAGAUGUUAUUAAUGCUUUCACUAAUAAAAGUUUAUA